CACGACCGGAAACUCGACCGGGGGCGACAGCAAUAUGUAGGUCAAGCUAAAGACUUUACCAGAAUCGCUGAGAGGAGGUGCAUGGCCGUCGUCAGUUCGUACUGUGAAGCAUCCUGUUAAGUCAGGCAACGAGCGAGACCCGUGCCCACUGUUGCCAGCAUGUCCUUCGGGAUGAUGGGUACUCUGUGGGACCGCCGAUGCUAAAUCGGAGGAAGGUGCGGGCUACGGUAGGUCAGUAUGCCCCGAAUCUCCCGGGCUACACGCGGGCUACAAUGACUGGGACAAUGGGCUCCUACCCGAAAGGGGAUGGUAAUCUCAUAAACCCAGCCUUAGUUCGGAUCGAGGGCUGUAACCCGCCCUCGUGAAGCUGGAAUCCGUAGUAAUCGCGUUUCAACAUAGCGCGGUGAAUACGUCCCUGCUCCUU
rnacentral:rRNA from 1 species